rnacentral:misc_RNA from 1 species
GAUGAAGAACGCAGCGAAAUGCGAUAAGUAAUGUGAAUUGCAGAAUUCAGUGAAUCAUCGAAUCUUUGAACGCACAUUGCGCCCGCUAGUAUUCUGGCGGGCAUGCCUGUUCGAGCGUCAUUUCAACCAUCAAGCCCUGCUUGUGUUGGGGUCCUGCGGCUGCCCGCAGGCCCUGAAAACCAGUGGCGGGCUCGCUAGUCACACCGAGCGCAGUAGCACAUCUCGCUCAGGGCGUGCGGCGGGUUCUUGCCGUAAAACACCCCCUUUUUACCAGGGUUGACCUCGGAUCAGGUAGGAAUACCCGCUGAACUUAAGCAUAUCAAUAAGCGGAGGA